GGGGGUAUAGCUCAGGGGUAGAGCAUUUGACUGCAGAUCAAGAGGUCCCUGGUUCAAAUCCAGAUGCUCCUCCU
rnacentral:tRNA from 1 species